UUUCGAAUUAUUCACAAUGGGCGAAAGCCUGAUGGUGCGACGCCGCGUGAGGGAUGAAGGUCUUCGGAUUGUAAACCUCUGUCACCGGGGAAGAAUGGCUAUGACCUAACACGUCAUGGAUUGACUUAACCCGGAGAGGAAGCAGUGGCUAACUCUGUGCCAGCAGCCGCGGUAAUACAGAGACUGCAAGCGUUAUUCGGAUUCACUGGGCGUAAAGGGUGCGCAGGCGGUUGCGUGUGUUGGAUGUGAAAGCCCGGGGCUCAACCCCGGAAUAGCGUCCAAAACUACGCGACUAGAGUACCGGAGAGGAUAGCGGAAUUCACGGUGUAGCAGUGAAAUGCGUAGAUAUCGUGAAGAACACCAGCGGCGAAGGCGGCUAUCUGGAAGGUAACUGACGCUCAGGCACGAAAGCGUGGGGAGCAAAAG
rnacentral:rRNA from 1 species